rnacentral:rRNA from 1 species
AAUAUAAAAUUUUUGUAGAAAUAAUUAGUUAUUUAAUAAUAUAUAAAAUAAUAAUAUUUUGUUAAAUUUUUAGUAAUUUGUAAUAAAAAAAAUUAUAAUUAAAUUUAGUAUAGUGAUAGAAAUUUGAAAUAUUUGAAAAUUAUAUUAUUUUUAAGUAAAUUUAAUUUAUUGUAUCUUGUGUAUCAGAGAAUAUUAAAUAAAAAUUUUUUAAAUAAAAUUUUUUCGAAAUCUAAAGAAAUAAAUUUUUUUAUUAGUUAUUGUAUCAUUAAUAUUAAUUAAGAAAAUUUGGAAAUGAAAUGUUAAUCGUUUUAGAUGAUAUCUAAUUUUUAAAGAAAUAAAUUUAAUUUAGAUAUUUAUAAAAAAUUUAAUAUUUAUAUAUUAAAAUUUUAUUUUAAAUAUUUAUAUUAUUAGGGAUAAGCUUAAUAAUAAAAUUUUAAAUUAAUAAAAAAAAUUUUAAAAUUAAUAAAAAUAAAAUUAUUUAUUAAUUAUAUAUUAUUAUAAAAAAUUUUAAAACUUUUAAAAAUUUUAAAUUUAUAAAUUAAAAAAAAUUAUUUAAAUAUUUAUUUUAAUAAAUUAAAUAAAAUAAUAAUGAUUAUUAUUAGUAUAUUAAUAUUAAAUUUAUAAAAUAUAAAUUUAAAGUUUAAUUUAAUUUAAGAACUCGGCAAAAAUUUAUAUUCGCAUGUUUAACAAAAACAUGUCUUUUUGAUUAAUAAUUUAAAGUCUAAUCUGCCCCCUGAAAUUUUUAAAGGGCUGCGGGAUAACUGUACAAAGGUAGCAUAAUAAAUUGAUUUAUAAUUAAAAUCUAGAAUGAAUGAUUGGACGAAAUAUAAACUGUUUUAAUUAAAUUUAAAUAAAAUUUAAUUUUUUAGUUAAAAAGCUAAAAUUUUAUUAAAAGACGAGAAGACCCUAUAAAUUUUUAUAAUUAAUAAAUUUAAUUUAUAUUUAAAUUUUAUUUUUAAUUAAAUUUAUUAAUUAUUUUAUUGGGGCGAUAAAAAAAUUUAAGAAACUUUUUAUUAUUAAUUUCUUUGAUUAAAGAUUUUCAAAAAAUGAUCUAUUUAUAAUAAUUAAAAGAUAAAAUACUUUAGGGAUAACAGCGUAAUUUUAAUUUUAAGUUCACAUUAAAAUUAAAGAUUGCGACCUCGAUGUUGGAUUAAAAUUUAAUUUAAAUGUAGAAGUUUAAAUGUUAAGUCUGUUCGACUUUUAAAAUUUUACAUGAUCUGAGUUCAGACCGGUGUGAGCCAGGUCGGUUUCUAUCUUUAAUUUAAUUUAAUUUUUUAGUACGAAAGGAUUUUUAAUUAAAAAUAAUUUUUUUAAAAAUUGAUUAAAAUUAAAUAUAAUAUUGUUA